rnacentral:rRNA from 1 species
GACGAACGCUGGCGGCGUGCCUAAUACAUGCAAGUCGAGCGAAGAUUUUCUGGUGCUUGCACUAGAAAAACUUAGCGGCGAACGGGUGAGUAAAACGUAAAGAACCCUCCCCAUAGCCUGGGACAAACCUUGGAAACGAUAGCUAAUUACGGAUAACAGUAUUUCUCGCACGAGAGAUAUUUAAAAGUUGGUUAUGCUAACAGUAUGAGAUGGCUUUGCGGUGCAUUAGCUGGUUGGUGGGGUAAAGGCACACCAAGGCGACGAUGCAUAGCCGACCUGAGGGGGUGGUCGGCCGCACUAGGACUGAGACGCGGCCCAGACUCCUACGGGGGGCAGCAGUAGGGAAGCUUACUGAAUGGUCGGAGGCCUGACGGAGCAGCGCCGCGGGAGUGAAGAAGGAGUUCGGUGCGUAGUGCUCUGUUGUUAGGAAAGAAGGGGGAUGUAGUAACUUGACAUGUAAGUGACGGUACCUGGCCAGGAAGCCACGGCUAACUACGUG